rnacentral:rRNA from 1 species
GAAGUUUUCAGAGAUGAGAAUGUGCCUUCGGGAACCGUGAGACAGGUGCUGCAUGGCUGUCGUCAGCUCGUGUUGUGAAAUGUUGGGUUAAGUCCCGCAACGAGCGCAACCCUUAUCCUUUGUUGCCAGCGGUCCGGCCGGGAACUCAAAGGAGACUGCCAGUGAUAAACUGGAGGAAGGUGGGGAUGACGUCAAGUCAUCAUGGCCCUUACGACCAGGGCUACACACGUGCUACAAUGGCGCAUACAAAGAGAAGCGACCUCGCGAGAGCAAGCGGACCUCAUAAAGUGCGUCGUAGUCCGGAUUGGAGUCUGCAACUCGACUCCAUGAAGUCGGAAUCGCUAGUAAUCGUGGAUCAGAAUGCCACGGUGAAUACGUUCCCGGGCCUUGUACACACCGCCCGUCACACCAUGGGAGUGGGUUGCAAAAGAAGUAGGUAGCUUAACCUUCGGGAGGGCGCUUACCACUUUGUGAUUCAUGACUGGGGUGAAGUCGUAACAAGGUAACCGUAGGGGAACCUGCGGUUGGAUCACCU